rnacentral:rRNA from 1 species
AACACUACAUUGAGGAAAUGCUUUGUAGCUGACGGUACCUUAUCAGAAAGCGAUGGCUAACUAUGUGCCAGCAGCCGCGGUAAUACAUAGGUCGCAAGCGUUAUCCGGAAUUAUUGGGCGUAAAGCGUUCGUAGGCUGUUUAUUAAGUCUGGAGUCAAAUCCCAGGGCUCAACCCUGGCUCGCUUUGGAUACUGGUAAACUAGAGUUAGAUAGAGGUAAGCGGAAUUCCAUGUGAAGCGGUGAAAUGCGUAGAUAUAUGGAAGAACACCAAAGGCGAAGGCAGCUUACUGGGUCUAUACUGACGCUGAGGGACGAAAGCGUGGGGAGCAAACAGGAUUAGAUACCCUGGUAGUCCACGCCGUAAACGAUGAUCAUUAGUCGGUGGGUUAUUCACUGACGCAGCUAACGCAUUAAAUGAUCCGCCUGAGUAGUAUGCUCGCAAGAGUGGAACUUAAAGGAAUUGACGGGGACCCGCACAAGCGGUGGAGCAUGUGGUUUAAUUUGAAGAUACACGGAGAACCUUACCCACUCUUGACAUCUUCCGCAAAGCUAUAGAGAUAUAGUGGAGGUUAACGGAAUGACAGAUGGUGCAUGGUUGUCGUCAGCUCGUGUCGUGAGAUGUUUGGUCAAGUCCUGCAACGAGCGCAACCCCUAUCUUCAGUUACUAACGAGUUAUGUCGAGGACUCUGGAGAUACUGCCUGGGUAACUGGGAGGAAGGUGGGGAUGACGUCAAAUCAUCAUGCCUCUUACGAGUGGGGCAACACACGUGCUACAAUGGUCGGUACAAAGAGAAGCAAUAUGGCGACAUGGAGCAAAUCUCAAAAAGCCGAUCUCAGUUCGGAUUGAAGUCUGCAACUCGACUUCAUGAAGUCGGAAUCGCUAGUAAUCGCAGAUCAGCUAUGCUGCGGUGAAUACGUUCUCGGGUCUUGUACACACCGCCCGUCACACCAUGGGAGCUGGUAAUACCCAAAGUCGGUUUGCUAACCUCGGAGGCGACUG